AUUGAACGCUGGCGGCGGGCCUAACACAUGCAAGUCGAGCGGAGCGGCAGACGGGGGCGUAAUGCCUAGGUAUCUGCCUGUUAGUGGGGGAGAACGUCCGGUAACGGGCGCUAAUACUGCUUACUAUCAGAUGAGCCUAGGUCGAAUUAGCUAGUUGGUGGGGUAAAGGCCUACCAAGGCGUUGAUCCGUAACUGGUCUGAGAGGAUGAUCAGUCACACUGGAACGGAGACACGGUCCAGACUCCUACGGGAGGAAGCAGGGGGGAAUAUUGGACAAUGGGCGAAAGCCUGAUGCAGCCAUGCCGCGUGUGUGAAGAAGGCCUUCGGGUUGUAAAGCACUUUAAGUUGGGAGGCGUUACCGACAGAAUAAGCACCGGCUAACUUCGUGCCAGCAGCCGCGGUAAUAC
rnacentral:rRNA from 1 species